UAUGUAGGGGGCAAGCGUUGUCCGGAAUUAUUGGGCGUAAAGAGCGUGUAGGCGGUCCGGUAAGUCAGCUGUGAAAGUCAAGGGCUCAACCCUUGAAAGCCGGUUGAUACUGUCGGGCUAGAGUCCGGAAGAGGCGAGUGGAAUUCCCGGUGUAGCGGUGAAAUGCGCAGAUAUCAGGAGGAACACCGGUGGCGAAGGCGGGUCUCUGGGCCGAUACUGACGCUGAGGAGCGAAAGCGUGGGGAGCGAACAGG
rnacentral:rRNA from 1 species